GCCAGUGACACUCGGUAAUGGUGUAAUUGAAAAUCCCCGUGUCGGCGGUUCGAUUCCGUCCCUGGGCACCA
rnacentral:tRNA from 1 species